rnacentral:rRNA from 1 species
AUUGAACGCUGGCGGCAGGCCUAACACAUGCAAGUCGAACGGUAACAGGAAGAAGCUUGCUUCUUUGCUGACGAGUGGCGGACGGGUGAGUAAUGUCUGGGAAACUGCCUGAUGGAGGGGGAUAACUACUGGAAACGGUAGCUAAUACCGCAUAACGUCGCAAGACCAAAGAGGGGGACCUUCGGGCCUCUUGCCAUCGGAUGUGCCCAGAUGGGAUUAGCUAGUAGGUGGGGUAACGGCUCACCUAGGCGACGAUCCCUAGCUGGUCUGAGAGGAUGACCAGCCACACUGGAACUGAGACACGGUCCAGACUCCUACGGGAGGCAGCAGUGGGGAAUAUUGCACAAUGGGCGGAAGCCUGAUGCAGCAACGCCGCGUGCGGGAUGACGGCCUUCGGGUUGUAAACCGCUUUCGCCUGUGACGAAGCGUGAGUGACGGUAAUGGGUAAAGAAGCACCGGCUAACUACGUG